AUGCUUGGCCUGUUACUUCUGCAGGCACAGUGCUGCCCUUGGUCUGUCCUUUACUUCAAUCCAUCCUCCUGGCUCCACCUCAAGGAUUCUGGGUAUCUGGGCUUCCUCAACCCCCCACCUCCAUAUGGAGAGGAAGAGAGGACUCAGAAUCUGAAUGCAGGUGUAGAAGCCUCCAGAAUUCCCUCAAGGACGAUCGGGACCCUGAUUUUCAAGAGUGCACAUUCCCAGAAGCAACAGCCUUCAUGUCCACGCCUUUUGAUGUCACAAGCUCAAAAUCCCCACACAGAGCAUGAUAACCAAAACCAUGUGAUCUGUAAAGAGACAUGAUGACCAUCUACACCUGCGCAAAAGAACCCGAAAACUCCCCUUUUCAACACCCACCCGACAAGCAGCUUCUCCCUCGCCCCUUCCUAUAAAUCUGCAGCUACCACGUAAUCAGGAGACAGAUUUGAGCUCAGUUGGACACAAAAAUCAAGCUCUUUCUUUUCACAAAACCCAGUGUCAGGGCACCCUGGCUCCAUCACGUGGAGGUGAUGAGAACAUUGGAAAGAAUCAUAACUGUGGUUGACUAAAGCACAUGCAAUUUAUAAAAAUUCACAACCCCAUAAAAAUGGUCAAAGAAGAGAGUGAGGAAAGUGACCUCUCUGCUUAUUAGAAAGGAUUUGCAGAUCAUACAGAUGAAGAAAUUCGUGGAUCGAGGUGUGUGGGAAGGGGCAGGACCUUCCAUGCCCUCUGGGCUCUGCCUUCUAGGAAUCUCCAUCUGUACAGCUAGUUAUUCAGAAGCUCCCAAACCUAGUCCUGGGCCAUGUUUAUGAAGGCUUCAUUAUCUAGACAUGAUUGAUUACAUCACUGGCCAAUGGGAUCAACCUUACCCUGAGCCCUGCCCCUUCCCUGAAGGUUGGGGGCAGGGACGGAAGUCCUACCCCAUAACCCUCCCUGGUCUUUCUGGGAUGACCCCCUGGCCAAGGCUACCCAGGGGCUGCCAGCUAUCAGUUAUCUCAUUAGCAAAUGGAUAGAUGCUGUCACUUCGGAGAGUCUAAGGAUCUUGAGAGUUGUAUGCCCUGAAAUAGAAACAUAAAAUAGCAUUUCCCAGCAUCACUUAUCCCCUAACAAAAUAACCAACUCAAGUCUUCUUCAUCCAGGGAUGCUAAGGUGGUGGAUCAGGUGCUGGAUAUUCUCAGGUUGCAGAGUUCCUCCCAGCACCAGGGAAUACACACUUUGGCCCAGGAGGUGGGCCACAGUGAGAGAUGGGAUGUGACCCAGGACCACAAUCCUGGUGUCUUCAAUAUGUCAAUGCCAUGAGAAAGAGAGACGGAAGGAGUGACUUAGCUUGAAAGACAUAUGAAAAUAUAAAACCCAAAGUUACAUCUCUGGUUUGCAGGAGCCACACUUAAAGCCAUCUCAGGGACAUUAGAUUUUUGUGUGGAUAUUAGAUAAUAUUAAAUGAUUGCUGGUUUUCUUAGCUAUAAAAAACUAGAUUGAAAUUGUAUGAGACAAUAUCUUUAAUUUUAUAGGAGAAAAGAAAAGUAAUUGGGGUUAAAUGCCACAAUGUGUGUCAUUUUUUUAAAACAAUACUGCAGCAAAAAUGAUACUUAUAAUCAAUAUAGGUAAAUGGUAAUCAUGAAAGCUAGGGCACAGGUUUACACAUGUUCACAGUCACUCUACUUUUCUUGUGGCUGAAAAUUUCAUGAUGAGAAAAGAAUAAGAAAGACCAGUGGCUCCACAGCAGCACAUUAGAAAAAGGCCACAUCCAGGGCAGAUCUUUUCUGGUGUCUCUACUGAAGGACCAAAGGGAAGGUGGGCAACCAGGCCACUGCAAGCCACUGUCAUGCCUGACCUGAGUGAGAGCCUCUCAGCAAACACCACCCUCAAAAACAGCAAGAAAACACUAAGGGCCAUGCUGUCCUCAGCAAACAGAACAGAGAGCCAUACAGAAAAUUUGGGACAAGACAUCCCAUCUCCCCAGUACCAAGAAACCUGACAUCUACACACCUGCACUGAGCAUCCUGAGAUCCUCAAACAAAACCAUUCCACCCCAGACUCCUUAGGGCAGCACCCCCUUACCCCAAACCCUAUAAAAAUUUUGCUUCUUCUCCAGCCAAUUGCUGAUAUCUUUCUCAAUCUCAGCCUGUCUGCACCCAGACAGAAUUAAAUCAGCCUUUUGCUCACAGGAAGCCUGUGUCUGGGUAGCAGGGAACAUGGGAGACCUUGGAAAUCAGCCCAGGGUGGAAAUGGGAACAGAUUCCCUGUGGUGAGAUGUACUUCCAGGUCAGCAGGAGGUCACCCCAGCAAUGAAGUCCUUUGACCUUCAGAAACCCUUCUUACUGGGGUGGAAGCAAGGCAGCAG
rnacentral:lncRNA from 1 species